rnacentral:rRNA from 1 species
GACGAACGCUGGCGGCGUGCUUAACACAUGCAAGUCGAACGGAAAGGCCCUGCUCUUGUGGCGUACUCGUGUGGCGCACGGGUGAGUAACCCGUGAGUAAGCUGCCCAUGACUUUGGACUAAUUUUAAGACACUGGGGCCUAUACCGGAUAGGAGCUAAUGCUGCAUGGUGGGGGCUGGAAAGUUUCGGCGGUUGGGGAGGGACUCGCGGCUUAUCAGCCUGUUGGUGGGGUAGUGGCUGAUCAAGGCUUUGACGGCUAGCCGGCCUGAGAGGGGGACCGGCCACAUUGGGACGAAGAAGCGGCCCAGACUCCUACGGGAGGCAGCAGUGGUGAAUAAUGCACAAUAGGCGGAGGCCGGAUGCAGCAACGCCGCGUGGUGGAUGAGGGCCUUCGGGUUGUAGACCGCUUUCGCCUGUGACGAAGCGUGAGUGACGGUAAUUGGUAAAGAAGCACCGGCUAACUACGUG